UACGAAGGGGGCUAGCGUUGCUCGGAAUCACUGGGCGUAAAGCGCACGUAGGCGGAUCUUUAAGUCAGAGGUGAAAUCCCGAGGCUCAACCUCGGAACUGCCUUUGAUACUGGGGAUCUCGAGUCCGGAAGAGGUUGGUGGAACUCCGAGUGUAGAGGUGAAAUUCGUAGAUAUUCGGAAGAACACCAGUGGCGAAGGCGGCCAACUGGUCCGGUACUGACGCUGAGGUGCGAAAGCGUGGGGAGCAAACAGG
rnacentral:rRNA from 1 species